CAGUCAGUUGUAGCGGCCGCUUGACUUUAUAGCUCACUAGUCGAGAGAUCCUGCGCCGAAAAUGUCCGGGGCUAAAACACGACACCGAAGCUGUGGAAUGUAGGAAUACAUUGGUAGAGGAGCAUUGUAAGCGGGAUGAAGCCAUACCGUAAGGAGUGGUGGACUGCUUAGAAGAGAGAAUGCCGGAAUGAGUAGCGAGAGGAAGGUGAGAAUCCUUCCGGCCGAAUAUCUAAGGUUUCCAGAGUAAAGCUGAUCUGCUCUGGGUAAGUCGGGACCUAAGGCGAGGGCGAGAGCCGUAGUCGAUGGAUAACUGGUUGAAAUUCCAGUACCACAUAAAAACAGAACUGUGGGGACACAGAAGGGAAAUGGGAGCCAGGAAUGGAAACACUGGUGCAAGCGAAGUAGCCGUAUGGGAGGCAAAUCCCUCAUGCAAGGCAAAGGCGUUACGCGGACCGAACAAAAGUAGGGAAGCCCAGGCCCCCAGCUGUCAAGAAAAGCCGCUAUUGUUUUUUAUGUGCCCGUACCGUAAACCGACACAGGUGGAUGAGGAGAGAAUCCUAAGGCCGACGGGAGAAGUGUUGUUAAGGAACUCGGCAAAAUGACUCCGUAACUUCGGGAGAAGGAGUGCCAUAGUGAUAUGGCCGCAGAGAAUUGGCCCAAGCAACUGUUUAGCAAAAACACAGGUCUAUGCAAAACCGCAAGGUGAAGUAUAUGGGCUGACGCCUGCCCGGUGCUGGAAGGUUAAGGGGAGGGCUUAGCGCAUUAGCGCGAAGGUCUGAACUUAAGCCCCAGUAAACGGCGGCCGUAACUAUAACGGUCCUAAGGUAGCGAAAUUCCUUGUCGGGUAAGUUCCGACCCGCACGAAAGGCGUAAUGAUUUGGGCACUGUCUCAACAACACACCCGGUGAAAUUGAAAUACCAGUGAAGAUGCUGGUUACCUGCGCCAGGACGGAAAGACCCCAUGGAGCUUUACUCCAGCUUGAUACUGGGAUUCGGUACUGCAUGUACAGGAUAGGUGGGAGACUGAGAAUUAAGGACGCCAGUCCUUAAGGAGUCACUGUUGGGAUACCACCCUUGCAGUAUUGGAUUUCUAACCAACAGCCAUGAUCUGGUUGGGGGACAAUGUCAGGUGGGGAGUUUGACUGGGGCGGUCGCCUCCGAAAGGGUAUCGGAGGCGCUCAAAGGUCUUCUCAGAAUGGACGGAAACCAUUCGCAGAGUGCAAAGGCAGAAGAAGGCUUGACUGUGACACCGACGGGUGGAGCAGGUACGAAAGUAGGACUUAGUGAUCCGGUGGUAUAACGUGGGAUUGCCAUCGCUCAACGGAUAAAAGCUACCCUGGGGAUAACAGGCUUAUCACUCCCAAGAGUUCACAUCGACGGAGUGGUUUGGCACCUCGAUGUCGGCUCAUCGCAUCCUGGAGCUGUAGCAGGUUCCAAGGGUUGGGCUGUUCGCCCAUUAAAGCGGUACGCGAGCUGGGUUCAGAACGUCGUGAGACAGUUCGGUCCCUAUCCGGCGCAGGCGGAGGAAAUUUGAUAGGAGCUGUCCUUAGUACGAGAGGACCGGGAUGGACGGACCACUGGUGGAUCUGUUGUAUUACCAAAUGCAUAGCAGAGUAGCCAAGUCUGGAAGGGAUAAACGCUGAAGGCAUCUAAGCGUGAAGCCCCCCUAAAGAUAAGAUUUCCCAUAGAGUAAUCUAGUAAGACCCCUUGAAGACGACGAGGUAGAUAGGGCAGAGGUGGAAGUGCGGCAACGUAUGGAGCUGACUGUUACUAAUCGGUCGAGGCUUUAACCAA
rnacentral:rRNA from 2 species